UGGGCGUAAAGGGUGCGUAGGUGGAUAGAUGAGUCGCAUGUGAAAGUCCCGGGCUUAACCUGGGAAAGCCAUGCGAGACUGUUUAUCUUGAGUACAGUAGAGGAUAGUGGAAUUUCCGGUGUAGCGGUGAAAUGCGUAGAUAUCGGAAGGAACAUCAGUGGCGAAGGCGACUGUCUGGACUGAUACUGACACUGAGGCACGAAAGCGUGGGUAGCGAACAGGAUUAGAUACCCUGGUAGUCCACGCUGUAAACGAUGAGUACUAGCCGAAGGGCCCUUAGGGGCAUUGUGGCGCAGCUAACGCAUUAAGUACUCCGCCUGGGGAUUACGGCCGCAAGGCUAAAACUCAAAGGAAUUGACGGGGGCCCGCACAAGCGGUGGAGCAUGUGGUUUAAUUCGAUGCAACGCGCAGAACCUUACCUACCCUUGACAUCCUAGGAAGCUUUCAGACGAUCGACGAGUGUCGCCUUACGGAACCUAGUGACAGGUGCUGCAUGGCU
rnacentral:rRNA from 1 species